UCAAGGAGAUAUCUAGGAGACUAUUUCAACAAUCCAGCAAUGAUGAUGUCUUGGCCCAGGACGAUGGUUGUGGGGGUGGUGAGAAGUGGUGGUGAAUUCUCAUAUUCCCUCUCUCUCUCUCGCCUCCACCCCACCACACAUACACACCCGCACAUGCUGAUGGCAGAACUGACAAGGUUUGCUGAUAAGCUAUGUGAUGUUACAUGCGCGUUAAAGAGAAGACUCAAGGAUAACAUCAAGCUUUUUUACAGAUGAAGGCACCAAGUUAAAUUGGCAAAGAAGAAUUCAAUCCCAGACAGACAGUUGACUCAGCAAGGUCACCCACCAUCUGAGCAAUCUUGUUCCGGGUAGCUGCCAAGCCUCCAUCGAACUAAAUUUAAUUCAUCUCCACCAAGUUCAUGGUACUGUCAUGGCCACCCUAAGAAGAAAACAGUUAUCAGCAGGUCAUCUGUGGAAGGAGUCUUCAAUGCAUAGUUAUCUUGUAGCUGGUUUAAUUGAAAGAGGACUGGACCCUACAGUAACAGACCCUGGUGUUUAACAGGCAAACGGGAAACGACCAGUAGAACUCAAUGGUGUUCUUGAUAACAGCUGUGUCGGCAGAGUGAUGGGGUGCUUUCAGUGGGUCAGAAAGGAAAGCCAGACACUGAAGAUAGGUAAGUAUGGACAAACAUUUGAAGGAGUUUUGCUAAAAAGUUAUAAGGAAAACAGAA